UACGUAGGGUGCGAGCGUUGUCCGGAUUUAUUGGGCGUAAAGAGCUUGUAGGCGGCUCGUCACGUCGGGUGUGAAAACUCGCGGCUCAACCGCGAGCCUGCACCCGAUACGGGCGGGCUGGAGUUCGGCAGGGGAGACUGGAAUCCUGGUGUAGCGGUGGAAUGCGCAGAUAUCAGGAGGAACACCGGUGGCGAAGGCGGGUCUCUGGGCCGAUGACUGACGCUGGAGGAGCGAAAGCGUGGGGAGCGAACAGGA
rnacentral:rRNA from 1 species